rnacentral:rRNA from 1 species
AGCAGCAGCCACGGUAAUACGAAGGGUGCAAGCGUUAAUCGGAAUUACUGGGCGUAAAGCGUGCGUAGGCGGUUUGUUAAGUCUGCUGUGAAAUCCCCGGGCUCAACCUGGGAAUGGCAGUGGAUACUGGCAAGCUAGAGUGUGUCAGAGGAUGGUGGAAUUCCCGGUGUAGCGGUGAAAUGCGUAGAGAUCGGGAGGAACAUCAGUGGCGAAGGCGGCCAUCUGGGACAACACUGACGCUGAGGCACGAAAGCGUGGGGAGCAAACAGGAUUAGAUACCCCCGUAGUCCCUGUCUCUUAUAC